UACGUAGGGUGCAAGCGUUAAUCGGAAUUACUGGGCGUAAAGCGUGCGCAGGCGGUUAUGCAAGGCAGAGGUGAAAUCCCCGGGCUCAACCUGGGAACUGCCUUUGUGACUGCAUGGCUAGAGUACGGUAGAGGGGGAUGGAAUUCCGCGUGUAGCAGUGAAAUGCGUAGAUAUGCGGAGGAACACCGAUGGCGAAGGCAAUCCCCUGGAGCUGUACUGACGCUCAUGCACGAAAGCGUGGGGAGCAAACAGG
rnacentral:rRNA from 1 species